ensembl:snoRNA small nucleolar RNA, H/ACA box 81
ACCUUCUUGUUAUAGCACUGUGCUAAAAUUACAGAAACCAAGGUGAGCUUUGGUUUCUGUAGUAAUGCUAGCAGAGUACAUGCAAGAAGAAGAAGAACCGCACUGGAUCAAAAAAGACUAGGGUGGACCUCUUUCUUAAUGUCCGGUGUCCUGUGUCUUGAGAUUUAGUGCAACAGUU